rnacentral:rRNA from 1 species
AGCUCCAAUAGCGUAUAUUAAAGUUGUUGCAGUUAAAAAGCUCGUAGUUGAAUUUCGGACCCUCGUUCCCGUCUCUUGAUUGAGGCGAUGCGGGUGUCCUCCUCGCCUUUGGCGUCAUUUACUGUGAAAAAAUUAGAGUGUUCAAAGCAGGCAAUCGCUUGAAUACAUUAGCAUGGAAUAAUAAGAUAGGAUCUUCGUCUAUUUUGUUGGUUGCGGACAAAGAUAAUGAUUAAUAGGGAUAGUUGGGGGUGUCUGUAUUGUGUUGUCAGAGGUGAAAUUCUUAGAUUUACACAAGACAAACUACUGCGAAAGCAUUCACCAAGGAUGUUUUCAUUA